ensembl:lincRNA
AUGUUAUACUCUCGCAUCGAUUUUCUACAAGUUCUAAUAUUGAAGACAAGGAGAGUUCUUCCAUCAGCUUCCAGCCAACAGAGAACAGAGCCUGUUAAAACUCCCAUAAGAGCUUCCAAGGAAGGCAACAGUGAUGGAUUACAGACUGCCCUGGAAGCGAGGACAGGUGCUUGCAUGAACACAGGGAAUGCAGUUUCUGGGCUCAAGAACUAGAAGCGGAGAGGAGGCUAAGACGCUGGAGGGAAAGAGGAAAUUCAGGACAGAAGAAAGAUGGAUGGUGGGAAGAUCUUCAGGAUCUCUUAGAGGAAAAGGUAAGUCGAAGAUGUAGCAGAGAAAGAAGCAGCAACAAACCAAGGAAUGGAUGGAGGCAACUGCUAUGCCAAGGUGGAAGAGGCAAGGAAAGCCUCCUGCUCCCAGACUCUGAGAAAUGUAAUUCUGCUAACACCUUGAUUUUGACUUCUGGACUCCAGCACGUGGGAAAAUAAACUUAUAUUGGUUUAAACCACUCAUUUUGCAAUUUGGUACAGCAGCCAUAGCACCCACAGAGCUUUUGGAACUGGGAAAUAGGAAUAGACUGAAAAGGGACUGUGAGGAAAGAGAGGAAGCUCUGGGUCAUCUUCUAGGCUCAGGUGACUUCCUAAGCAACUGCAGGUAAACUAAGUCAAUUCUGAUAAUGGCCUACAUUGUCUCUGUGUUCUUAUCUUAAAAAUGGGAAUAAGAGUGUUUCCCACCUCGUAUACUUGUGGGAAGGAUUAAAUGAGUUCCUAACUGCAAAGAGCUUAGCAAAGCAUCUGGCAUGGUAUCUAUACUGUAUCAGUGUUAGCUUUUAUUUCUGCUGCUGUUGCUGCUAUUGUUUAUUAUGAUUAUUUACCAGAUUGCACAUGCCUUUCUGAUUAUUGCAGAGCCUAUUUGAAUAAUUUCAUUUACAUGUGUUUAUAUAGAAAAAAAGAUGAGAAGUCCAUUUUCCAAAAUAUCAUAAACAGUUAUUUCUUGGUGAUGGAUUGGCCAUAGAAUUUUAUUGGCUUCUAUUUGCCUGUAGUUUCUAAAUUCUCAGCAACAAGUGCAUAUUACUUUGGUAAUAAAAACAUGAAAGUUUUGUUUUCUUUUUGUUUUUGAAAGAUUGCUUUGUUUUAACACUUAAUAAAACUGGAGAAGCCAGGCAAUUCUAACAAGUUCGUAGAGAACGUUGCAUAUAAUUUUUUAAGCCCUAAGAUUUGUAAGAAUUUUUAAUUAGUAACUGUGGACAAGAUGGGAACUGGUGUUGGGCACAGAAAACAGACUUGGCAGCCACUUUUAAAGGGUUAUGUGUGGGCCAAAGUCAGAUUCUGAUAUGCUGGAAUAUUUCUCCAGUUUGUGACUGCAACUCCACCAUAGUAGAUUGAGUCUUCUCUCUAGGGAAAUUAUUUCUGGGAAGAAAAGCACAUGUGGUCACUACAGACCAGGCUUAAUCAACCUGGACACUAUUGACAUUUAGGCUAGAUCAUUCUUUGUUGUAGGGGAUGUCUUGUGCAGAGUGUCUUGCUUAGCAGUCUUCCUGACUUCUACCCACUAGACGCCAUAGCAACUACUCUCAUUCAGUUUUGACAACCAACAAUUCAUACAGAUAAUCUUAGGAAUCCAUUGGCUGGCGAAGGGGCACGGUGAUGUCCUUCCUGUUGAAGACCACUGCACAGCAACAUCUAAUGUUGCUUCCUCCGGAUUCUGUACAGAGAAACCCUGGCCUGAGAUUCUAGACCACGUCUUUGGAAAGGGGCAAUGACUAGAUGAAAUCAUGUGAGCUGUGGAUUAGCAAUGCCUGGGCUGUCAAUCAGUCCUAGUGCUCUCUAGCUAUGUUACCUUGGGAAGGUGCCAAACUCCCCCAUGUGCAGUUUUCUUACUAUGAAGUAGAAUUAGCAGCACCAACAUUUACUGAUUUUUAUGUGAAUGAGAAAUAAUGUUUAGGUCACAUUGCCUUACGCCUUCUACCCAGUAGGGCUUAAUAAAUACCUGCUUCUUUCCUGGAACAUUGGUGGGUGUGUCUCACAGGAAGGGGAUUAAUUAAUGAUACUGUAUGUAAUGAUACUGACCCUCCCCUUCAAAAAACUCAUCAAUCAAAUUAGGCACAUGCUUUUUUAAUUAAAGAAAUCCAAUAUUCCGAAACUACUUUGUCUCCACCCCAAAGCCUCCAGUAAAAAUAACACAUCCAAAAGCUAACUUGAUGCAAACUGAUGAGUUAUUUUCUUUUUGUAGCUUAGAAGUGUCUGAACUAAGAGCCCUUAUCACUGAGCCUCAGCUGUCAUAGGAAUCCUUUAAUCAUGACUGUCCUUUUGGAAAAAUAAUGCAGAUUUGGGGUGAGACUCAGGAUGUUGAACAAGGGGGACACAGUGCCGGUGGCUACCCUGCCCCUUCCUGAUGGCUGUGAAUGGUUUUAAUCUGCUUCCACUGUUAAUCUGAAAUUUGGAGAUAUUUGGGGACAGCCUAAUUAGGUAGAUGUAAGAUGAGAGCGAAUUUAUUUUUGUCCAACACAUAGCAUGGAAGUGAAUGCAUCAACAAUGCAUAUUAAUCCAGGUGGUCCUUUGGGGCCUGUCACUCCUUGAGCCACCGUGUGUGUUUAUGAUGCAACCAUGGUGGUAAUGCACUCUCAGAGUCCUUCAAGAGCAGUGAUGGUGAACUUUCUAGAACUCUAAAAGGUGCAAACAAUCCACCAUAGUCACACCCUCACUGAUCUAGAGGAUGCUUGAAAUGUCUGAGGUUAUUUCUCUGUGGAGCGGAAACUUUGCUGAGCCUCUGUUUUUCUCAGCUUUACAAUGCCGUGGUGUAGGUUGAGUAGGCCUUCUCCAAAAUGCUUGUGACCAGAAGUGUUUCUGAUUGCAGGGUUUUUCAGACUGUGAAAUAAUUGCAUAGACCUCACUAGCUGAGCAUCUCCAAUCCAAAACUCUGAAAUCUGAACAGUCCUACAUCCAUAACUUUAUAAGUAUUGUGCUAGUCUUGGAUUUGGAAGUAUUUUGGAUUUUCACAUUUGGAAUAAUCAAACUGUACUAAGGUUACCCAUUAAAAUAUUUGUUAAACAUUUAUUUUCUGCAGAACACUGCCCAUGAUGCCAGGGCAAUAG